rnacentral:rRNA from 1 species
GACGCGACCUCAGCUCA